UUUAGGAAAAAAAAUUAAAGUAUUCUACAUGGCCAUAGUUUGCCAUUUGCGAGUGAAAAAAACAAAAAAAAAACUUGUAAAGUAUUUAAUAUGAUCGUUUAGUUUGAAAGCAUCACUUUUGCAUAUGAUACUUUUAUAUAAGAUAAAAAAAUAUAUUAAAAUACUCGAUGUGAUUAAAGUGUCACCUUCGUAAGUGAAAAAAAAA
rnacentral:lncRNA from 1 species